UUGGAUGGGAGACACGAUUGUCGUUUGUGUGGUUAAGGAGGAAGGAGGUGAAAGUUGCUAAUGGUGUUGCAACGAUGGUGGUUUGGCGGUCGCGUUGAGUAGAUUGUAAGGGUUGUUUAGUUGGUGGUGGUGCGGCGGAUGUGGCUCUUGAUCGAGAGUGUAGAGGAUUUGGGUUUGUGGUGGAGGAAAAAGUUAUGUGAGAGGAGGGUAGUUGAUGAACAGGAAACAAAGAUGAGGGUCCUCUCUUCAAGAGCUCCCCUUUUCGUUUCUUUAUUUUUUUUCUAUUCCCUUAUUUUAUUUUCUUUUUUGGAUUUUUUUUGGAAAGAAGAAGAUGACCUUUUUCUUUCUUUUCGUUUUCUUUUUACUCAGAGAGAGAUAUUCAGGAAAGGGCUCAGGUCCUCUUUUCUUUUUUAUUUUUAUUUUCUUUUUCUUUUUCUCUUUUGCAAUGUUUUGAUAGAGAGAGUAUUUAGUAGGUAGGUGAGGGGCGAUGAAUUAUCCAGUGUAUGGAUUGGAGGAAAAAUCUACCUUUCUCUUUUUUGUUUUUCUUUGAAAGUGUCUGUAAGCCAGCGUAGUGGCGAUUUCUCUUUCUUUUUUUAUUACCGUCCUUUUAUGAGAGAGUCGUUGUAGAGGUUUUG
rnacentral:lncRNA from 1 species